GUAGGUGGCAAGCGUUGUCCGGGAAUUAUUGGGGCGUAAAGCGCGCGCAGGCGGUUCUUUAAGUCUGAUGUGAAAGCCCACGGGCUCAACCGUGGGAGGGUCAUUGGAAACUGGAGAACUUGAGUACAGAAGAGGAAAGCGGAAUUCCACGUGUAGCGGUGAAAUGCGUAGAGAUGUGGAGGAACACCAGUGGCGAAGGCGGCUUUCUGGUCUGUAACUGACGCUGAGGCGCGAAAGCGUGGGGAGCAAACAGGAUUAGAUACCCCUGGUAGUCCACGCCGUAAACGAUGAGUGCUGAGUGUUAGGGGUUUCCGCCCCUUAGUGCUGCAGCUAACGCAUUAAGCACUCCGCCUGGGGAGUACGGCCGCAAAGGCUGA
rnacentral:rRNA from 1 species